CAGUUUAUCUAGCGAAUGCCACAAGACUUCCCGAGGCUUCAACUUUCUAUAAAUAGAAAACAACAUUGAAAACUCAAGGCAGCAGGUCAAGGUCAAAAUAAAUAUAUAGUAGCUCCUCAAACUUUGACCUUGUAUGUGUUAGGAUAACCAAACAGCACUCAAUGAAAGUGUUUUGAUUUGUUUUUCAGUUUGCCGAUAGAAUUUUUCUUUCUCCUAGGCUGUAAGGUCCUGUUAGGAGUGAAGCCAAGAGAGACAUUUUGGUAGCUGAAUUAAUUUUUUUUUUCAUCUGUUGAGGAUGCUCUUCACUGAAAGUCAGAGUCCAUUUGGGAUGUAAUCUAAUCUUUUUAAUAGCUGAUAAACGGAAAUGAAUAGCUUCUUGGAUGCAACAGAGGUGGAGCAGGUUUGAACAGCUGGCACUCGCCUUUUUUUACAUGUCCAUGCAAAGAUAAACUGCUCUUCGAAAAUAUGGUAUUGCUAGAGAAUCAAGCAAGCAGAUUAGAAACCAUGCUCUGAUUUUUUUUCCCUCCAGCAUUUUGUCCGAUGUUUUUGAAAACAGGUUUGUAAAAACAUAGGAGUAGUUUUGAACACCCCAGUUUAAAAAAGCAAAAAAGAAAAACAGCAUUAGAAUGCUCUGCAAAGGUGAAGGUAGUGGAUGCAAAUACUGUUGGAAUGAUAACAAUAAGGGGUGUGGGAGGACUUUCCCUGGUGUCAUGAAAAUUAUCAUGAGCAGAUUGCCUUUAAUCGUCACCUAAACUGACAAAAGAAAACAAAACAACAAAAAAAGCCAAGGAUCUGAGUGACAAGAAGGAGGUGCUCUUUUUCUGAAGCAGGAUUACCAUGUAGUUCCUCAAGAAAAGUCCGGGUGAAGUGCCCAGGAAAGAAAGAAAGAAAGAAAGAAAGAAAGAAAGAAAGAAAGAAAGAAAGAAAGGCUGGUGGGCAGUGGAGAGAAGGUGAAAAUAACUGCUUUUGGAGAAGGUCAUCAAUCAUGAAUUUUCCCUGGUAUGUUGCCGAAGCAGGGAGUGAAAUGUGCAGCUGUGGAUCUACCAAUAGGAGGGCUUCUGUACCUGCACAUUUUAGUAAGUCAUCUAAACACAGCCAAAAGGAAACCCAAACUUUGUUUUUUCUACCUCAUCUGUGAUUGUAGCUGACAUCAGAGUGUUUUGGCUGAAUGUAUUAUGUAUUUCAAACAAGACUCCUGCAUAUUAAAAAUGAGAUGACAUAGUUUAAAAUUAAAGCCAUUAAUAAAUUAAUACAUUCCCCAAAUUAAUUUGUAUUC
rnacentral:lncRNA from 12 species